rnacentral:rRNA from 1 species
GACGAACGCUGGCGGCGUGCUUAACACAUGCAAGUCGAACGGAAAGGCCCGGCUUUUGUUGGGUUCUCGAUUGGCGAACGGGUGUGUGACACGUGAGUAACCUGCCCUUGUCUUUGGGAUAACUUCAGGAAACUGGGGCUAAUACCGGAUAGGAGCUCUUGCUGCAUGGUGGGGGAUGGUAAGUGUCGGCGGUGGUGGAUGGAAUGGCGGCUUAUCAGCUAGUUGGUGGGGUAGUUGCUUUCCAAGGCUUUGAAGGGUAGCCGGCCUAAGAGGUUGACCGGCGACAUGGGGCCUGCGGUACGGAGCAGACUCGUACGGGAGGCAGCAGUGGAGAGUCUUGCGCAACGGGCGGAAGCGUGAUGUAGCGGUGCUGCGUGCGGGAAGACGUGUUUCGGGUUGUAAACCGCUUUCGCAUGAGACGAAGCGUGAGUGACGGUAAUGAGUAAAGAAGCACCGGCUAACUACGUG